GGGGGAUAUGGCGAAAUUGGUAGACGCUACGGACUAAAAUCCGUCGACUUUUAAAAUCGUGAGGGUUCAAGUCCCUUUAUCCCCC
rnacentral:tRNA from 1 species